CAUUUUACUCACUUGGGUGUCACCCCCUGGUGGGUGUCACCAGGUGCGGACCGCACACCCCUAGUGACGCCACUGCGCUUAACCACUCAACCACCGCGUCUACUUAAUUAGACUUAUAAACAAAUGGGCUAAUAGCAAAAAUAAAGGAGAUGUGUUACAUAGAUUAGCUGAUACGCCUAGCGAUAGUGUUAAAAGUUUUGUUUCGUUGGGUACGUCAGCUGUGGGGAGAGGGGUGUUAUGCUCUUCCGCAUUGUAUAGUACUUGAAAAUGUAACUAAGUCCAACUGGAGGUAACACUGAACUCAAUACUGGAACAGAUAACACCAACGAAAGGCCAACAAUCGAUACAUUGAGUCGACGCUGGUGUUAAAACAGCAAACACUUUUAAUACUUAAGGUGGAUCUAAGCCUCUCAGCACGUCACGACGGAGAAAACAAUCUCUACAACGCUUCAGAGAGAAACAUAAUGGGUUCUCCGGAAAAAAAGCCUGGGACAGAGUAUAAUCCAUGGCUGUUCUCUCCCUGCAGUGUCAGUUACUUUACCAGCUUUUUGAAGAAAAAAUUGAGCUCCAGUCGAGGUUACACUUGUCUUGUCUACGCUGUCGAAGCAUCAGCAGACAUUCCAGAUGUAUCUGAUAAACUAUUGGGUCAGGUGAUCAAACCUGAUCAACAGUGUCAACAGUUUUUUUGGAAAUGAUUCCUUCUUUUGCAGGGCUUCCGAAUCUAGACGCUCUAUCACUGAAAUCUGCCAAGCAAUGUUAUGUGCAGAUGUUUUAAGAGGGUUAUGUAUCCCGCAUAUAGCACUCACUGGAACAUCUUGUGGCGAUGGAAAGGUCUGCAUAAAUGACAAUGUGUCAGCGACCCAUACGCUCCUCAACUUGAUGAAAACUGUGCAUUUGGAGACAGACCGAGCUAUUCUUGCAGUUUGUUUAUCAAUGACUUUAUGGGCAACUGUUACUCUACUCUUGGCUAUCGAGCAUGCUGUGACACGUGUAACAAUGUGUCUAGGCCCGUGAAAGAAUGUGAACCAGGAGAUCUAGACUUGAGGCCAGAACUGUGCACUAACACUAGUGUCUGCCAGAUAAAGUCAUCACUGUGCUGUAACUAUUGCUCGUUACAUUACAAUUCUGCAAAUACAAGUAGGCUACCACACAAUUAACGUCCCCCAACGAGUGUGUACUAGGAGAACCAGCUGUGUACUAGCCGUAGUAUCUGCCAGACACAGCCAUUGAUGUGCUGUAAAUAUUGUUCUUCCCGUGACAAUUCUGCAAGCCAUCUCUCUUUAUACACUAUUUGGAUAUUAUAUUGUUUUUGUAUUGCGUUCUUUCUUUAUAUUAAAACAAAUGUCUAUUAGGUAGAUAAAGUACAAGUGUCUAUUAAGUAGAUAAAGUACAAAUGUCUAUUAGGUAGCUAAAGUACAAGACUCUUAGGUAGAUAAAGUACUUACCCUUGUUCGGAAUUUUUUUUUAGUUUUUGUCUAUUUCUUAUCUUUAUACCAUUUUAAGCAUUGAUUACACAAGGAAAUCAAUUAUAAUGAAGCAAUCUAUCAAUCAUAAUGAAGCAAUCGUUGGUGUACUGUGCAUGAAAUAAUAGACCUCUAAAACAUGUAACCAGGGCCGGCCUUAGAUAAUGAGCCUCCUUGUCCUUAUCAUUAGGAGGAACAUUUUGUACAUCCCCUUAUAAUUCUGGAUCUAGAGAUAAAUUAUGUUGCUUGUUUUUAUUUC